rnacentral:rRNA from 1 species
GACGAACCGUGCGAACGUUGUUCGGAAUCACUGGGACGUUAAAGGGCGCGUAGGUCGGGCUCAAAAGUCAGGGGUGAAAAUUCCCACGGCUCAACCGUGGAAGUGCCUUUGAUACUGUGAGUCUCGAGGGAGGUAGGGGCGUGCGGAACUUCCGGUGGAGCGGUGAAAUGCGUAGAUAUCGGAAGGAACACCGGUGGCGAAGGCGGCAUCCUGGACCGGCAUUGACGCUGAGGAGCGAAAGCCAGGGGAGCAAACGGG